UACGAAGGGGGCUAGCGUUGUUCGGAAUUACUGGGCGUAAAGGGCGCGUAGGCGGUGUGUCAAGUCAGGCGUGAAAGCCCCGGGCUCAACCUGGGAACAGCGCUUGAGACUGGCACGCUCGAGUUCGGGAGAGGAUGGUGGAAUUCCCAGUGUAGAGGUGAAAUUCGUAGAUAUGGGGAGGAACACCGGUGGCGAAGGCGGCCACCCUGGACGGUAACUGACGCUGGAGACGCGAAAGCGUGGGGAGCAAACAGG
rnacentral:rRNA from 1 species